AAUACUUAGGAAUCUGCCCAUUAAUGGGGGACAACAGUUGGAAACGACUGCUAAUACCGCAUACGCCCUACGGGGGAAAGCAGGGGAUCUUCGGACCUUGCGUUAAUGGAUGAGCCUAAGUCGGAUUAGCUAGUUGGUGGGGUAAAGGCCUACCAAGGCGACGAUCUGUAGCGGGUCUGAGAGGAUGAUCCGCCACACUGGGACUGAGACACGGCCCAGACUCCUACGGGAGGCAGCAGUGGGGAAUAUUGGACAAUGGGGGGAACCCUGAUCCAGCCAUGCCGCGUGUGUGAAGAAGGCCUUUUGGUUGUAAAGCACUUUAAGCGAGGAGGAGGCUACUAGUAUUAAUACUACUGGAUAGUGGACGUUACUCGCAGAAUAAGCACCGGCUAACUCUGUGCCAGCAGCCGCGGUAAUACAGAGGGUGCGAGCGUUAAUCGGAUUUACUGGGCGUAAAGCGUGCGUAGGUGGCCAAUUAAGUCAAAUGUGAAAUCCCCGAGCUUAACUUGGGAAUUGCAUUCGAUACUGGUUGGCUAGAGUAUGGGAGAGGAUGGUAGAAUUCUAGGUGUAGCGGUGAAAUGCGUAGAGAUCUGGAGG
rnacentral:rRNA from 1 species